UCUCCGUAGGUGAACCUGCGGAGGGAUCAUUACAGAGUUCUCGCCCUCACGGGUAGAUCUCCCACCCACUGUUAUCGUUACUGUCGUUUCUUUGGCGGGCCGCCGGGUCCCCGGCCGCCGGCGCCUAGCUGCCGGCGCGCGCCCGCCAGAGGCCUUCAAACUCUGAAUGUUAGUGUCGUCUGAGUACUAUAUAAUAGUUAAAACUUUCAACAACGGAUCUCUUGGUUCCG
rnacentral:misc_RNA from 1 species